UAACAUUGGUUCUCGUACAAUCAUCGAAGUUAAGCAACAUCAAGUCUGGUCAGUACCUAGAUGGGAGACCACUUGGGAAUACCAAGUGCUGCAAGC